UACGGGGGGGGCAAGCGUUGUUCGGAAUUACUGGGCGUAAAGGGCUCGUAGGUGGCCAACUAAGUCGGACGUGAAAUCCCUCAGCUUAACUGGGGAACUGCGUCCGAUACUGGAUGGCUUGAGUUUGGGAGAGGGAUGCGGAAUUCCAGGUGUAGCGGUGAAAUGCGCAGAUAUCAGGAGGAACACCGAUGGCGAAGGCAGCUCGCUGGGACGUUACUGACGCUGAGACGCGAAAGCGUGGGGAGCAAACAGG
rnacentral:rRNA from 1 species